GACGAACGCUGGCGGCGUGCUUAACACAUGCAAGUCGAACGGAAAGGCCCUUCCUGUAGGGUACGCGAGUGGCGAACGGGGGAGUGACACGUGGGAGAUCUGUCCCCUACUCCGGGAUAAGCGUGGGCAACAGGGUCUAAUACCGGAUAGGGGCCAUUCUUAGUGUGUCGGUUGGUAAGUUUUUUCGGUGUAGGGUGGGCUCGCGGCCUAUCGGCUUGGUGGUGGGGUUAUGGCCUACCAAGGCGGCGUCGGGUAGCCGGGCUGGGGGGGUGGACGGCCACGUUGGGGACGAGUAACGGCCCAAGCUCCUGCGGGGAGCAGCAGUGGGGAAUAUUGCACAAGGGGCGCAAGCCCGAUGGAGCGGCGGCCCGUGGGGGAUGGCGGCCCUCGGGUUGUAAACUCCUUUCGCUAGGGACGGAGCUUUUUGUGACGGUACCUGGAUAAGAAGCACCGGCUAACUACGUG
rnacentral:rRNA from 1 species